rnacentral:misc_RNA from 1 species
GUAAUUAUUAAUUUUGUUCAGACGCUGAUUGAAAAUUAAAUAGGUUAUAAUUGGUUUCACUCGGCAAGCAAGCCUGCCGAGGAAAUAAUAGUAUAUGACAAACAAGGGUAGAAUACAGGCAGAACAGAGAGGCGAGAAACUCAACCAUCCCCAUUCUGCUGCAUUGAAAGGUAAUGAUCCUUCCGCAGGUUCACCUACGGAAA